rnacentral:rRNA from 1 species
UGUCUUUUAAAUAAAGACUAGAAUGAAUGGCCAAACGAGGCUCCACCUGUCUCUUACAGAUAAUCAGUGAAAUUGAUCUUCCCGUGCAAAAGCAGGAAUAACAUUAUAAGACGAGAAGACCCUGUGGAACUUCAAAUAUAAAAUCAACUAUUACUAACACCAACCUAAUGGCAUAUACCAAACAACACCUGAUUUUUAUUUUCGGUUGGGGCGACCUCGGAGCAAAACAAAACCUCCGAAAAAGAAUUACUCAAAACCUAGAACCACAAUUCAAAGUGCUCUCGGCAAAGCGAUCCAAUAUAUUUGAUCAACGAACCAAGCUACCCCAGGGAUAACAGCGCAAUCCCAUCCAAGAGUCCCUAUCAACGAUGGGGUUUACGACCUCGAUGUUGGAUCAGGACAUCCUGAUGGUGCAGCCGCUAUCAAGGGUUCGUUUGUUCAACGAUUAACAGU